rnacentral:tRNA from 1 species
GCGGGCGUGGCGGAAUUGGUAGACGCACUGGAUUUAGGUUCCAGCGGCGCAAGCUGUGGGGGUUCGAGUCCCUCCGCCCGCACCA